ACUUCCUCUUGAAUCAAGGGAGGUAGUGCUUGUUUUCUCUCCUCAGAGCAGUUUGAGAUCUCCCCAGCACAGAUGUUUGGACAGAGCAGGCUCCUGAGGUCUCCAGGACACCCAUCCCAGCCUCCUGGCCCCACCCUCCUGGUCCUUUCCUGCUGCUGAUUCUGCUGCUGGGACGCACAGAGUAUAGCAUGAGGCCAAGUGGAGCAUUAUUUUUGCAUCAAAAGCCCUGGAGAAAUUGAUGGCUAUCAUGAGUGGUGAAGAGACUCCAACAGACAUGAAAGAAGUUGAUGAAAUUUAUAUAGUAUUGGUGGAAGUCACCCUGUUUAGAGAG